AUACGUAGGUGGCAAGCGUUAUCCGGAAUUAUUGGGCGUAAAGCGCGCGCAGGCGGUUUCUUAAGUCUGAUGUGAAAGCCCACGGCUCAACCGUGGAGGGUCAUUGGAAACUGGGGAACUUGAGUGCAGAAGAGAAAAGCGGAAUUCCACGUGUAGCGGUGAAAUGCGUAGAGAUGUGGAGGAACACCAGUGGCGAAGGCGGCUUUUUGGUCUGAAACUGACGCUGAGGCGCGAAAGCGUGGGGAGCAAACAGGAUUAGAUACCCUGGUAGUCCACGCCGUAAACGAUGAGUGCUAAGUGUUAGAGGGUUUCCGCCCUUUAGUGCUGCAGCUAACGCAUUAAGCACUCCGCCUGGGGAGUACGGUCGCAAGACUGAA
rnacentral:rRNA from 1 species